GUUGGGGGGAUUUUAUUGGUCACAACAUUACAUAAAAUCAUUUAUUAUCAAAGUAACCAUCAAGACAAAAUACAAAUCCCUAGAUUUAAUCAUAUCUAAAUUACAGGUCUUACAACAAGAGUACUAACAUUACGACGUAAUAAGAAAAUUAUAAUAUUCUUUGAAACAUAAUUAUUUUUCAACUUGAGCUUUUAUAAAGAAUUCACAAAUACCAUCAACACACUUUGCAAAUGGAGGAGGCAAUGGCACUGGACAAUCAUCAUCAGAAACGCAUGGAAAGGUAGCUAUAUAGACAAAUAAGAAAAAUGGAUAUUACUCAAAUGUGAACAAAAAAUAUUGUUAUAAGAUAUAUUUGAAAAUUAGAAAAUGAUGUGAAAAAUGACAUACUUGUACUCGUUACAACAAGAAAUUGAGAUAGAAAGAUGAUUAAAGCAUAAACAAACACACGAAUUUGAGACAUAUUUUU
rnacentral:lncRNA from 1 species